UACGUAGGGUGCGCGCGUUAAUCGGAAUUACUGGGCGUAAAGCGUGCGCAGGCGGCCUUCCAAGUCAGGGGUGAAAGCCCAGAGCUCAACUCUGGAAUUGCCUUUGAGACUGUGAGGCUUGAGUACGGGAGAGGUGAGUGGAAUUCCCAGUGUAGAGGUGAAAUUCGUAGAUAUUGGGAAGAACACCGGUGGCGAAGGCGGCUCACUGGCUCAUUACUGACGCUCAGGCGCGAUAGCGUGGGGAUCAAACAGG
rnacentral:rRNA from 1 species